GCAUCUGUGGUUUAGUGGUAAAAUUAGCCGUUGCCAUCCUUCACUGGACAGUUUCGGCUAGCCCCGGAUUCGAUUUCCGGCGGAUGCA
rnacentral:tRNA from 1 species